rnacentral:tRNA from 1 species
GGCCUCGUAGCUCAGUGGAUAGAGCAGCAGCCUUCUAAGCUGCGGGUCGAAGGUUCGAGUCCUUCCGGGGUCA